AAUUACUAAAAAUUGCUAAAAAGUAAAAUAACACGUUAAUUAGCAGCUUAAAAUGAUCUUAUUAUUUAGUGCACAAGUUAAUAAAUUUUCAAGAAUUCAUAAUAAUCUUUUGGUCCCUCUUUGUAACGUUAAGAGAAAUGGCCAUGCUAUCAAGAGUAAACAAUGUCAACAAAACUCCUUUCCAUACUAUAAAUACAUCAAUAAAUUCAUUAAGAAGUCUUGUUUUUUUCCUGCAAAUAAUCUCUUUCAUAAGCCUGUCGGCGCAGGUCCAGGAGCACUGUAAGCGGGACCAUGCUUAGGUGGAUGAGCGUGAUGGUGGUGGUGUUUGCCCUUAUGGUGGUGGUGGUGGUGAUUGUGAUGGUGAUGAUGGCCAUGUUUGUGGUGGCUGGGAGCGUGCGCCUUUUGGAUGUGAGGAAAGAGAGCCUCUACAUCCUCUUGGUCAAAAACUACAUUUUCUCUUAAUUUUGAGAAUUCCUCUUGACUACUAGCGAGAAUGGGAACGCACAGAAGAAUGAGCCCUAGAAGCAAAACAAGAGAGUAUACAGUACUCAUUACUGGUAUUUGGUGAUGGCAAAGAGUGACAAGGGAAGAACCUUUUUAUAGUGGAUUCGUAACCUACAAAAUUAAUUUUUGGUCAACAAUCUACUCUAUGCAUUAAUGACUUUUUAAUGCUCCAAAAAUAUUGUUGGGUUGAUGAAAUUCCUAUAGUAAUUAAAGACCUAAUUCGACAAUAAAUUUUGGAGAAAUAAUAAGAAGGGGAAAUAUUCCUAAUAAAAUUGAGAUUGCAAUUAGGACAAAUUAAACAUCAAUAAAUUCAUUAAGAAGUCUUGUUUUUUCCUGCAAAUAAUCUCUUUCAUAAGCUUGUCGGCGCAGGUCCAGGAGCACUGUAAGCGGGACCAUGCUUAGGUGGAUGAGCGUGAUGGUGGUGGUGUUUGCCCUUAUGGUG
rnacentral:lncRNA from 1 species